CGGGAGGCUGGAGUGCACCCGGCUGCCCACGUCGUGGCCCGAGGCGCUCAUCCCUGGCCAGGAUCCCCAGGCACCAGGCAGGGCUGCCUAAGGCAGCAGGACGUGCAGGCAUGGAGUGGCUGCCCAGGAGGCAAUGGUGACAGCUCCCUGCCCUGCAGCUUUUCUGGGCACCAUGGAAGCUUCUGGAUCCUGGACCAACUCUAGGAGGGAAGAGAGUUGCAUUUUCUGCCAGCCCCACAGGGUGGGGCUCCAAGUUGGGUUUAAGCUGAUUUAAGUAAACAAAGAAAUGAACCUUCCGGAUUUCUGGACAGCACGGCCCUCCAAGUUCAUGGUCUGAGGGUUCUUCUUUGCUCCGAAUAUACAGCAGCAUUAGAUAAAACAUUUCAACAAAACAAGCCAAGCACCGCAGACACCAAAAACAGACAGAACAAAACCCGUGGGUGGGGUCUGAGAUGGGGCUUCUGGUCUGGAACCAAGGUGGGGGAAGACCUGGCACAGCUCCCAGGGUGGGGAGCAGAGGCCGCUGACUGCACAGAGAGACCCCCACACAGAGAGGUAAUAGAAGGAAAAUUCCAGCCGAGUGCUUCCCGGACCUCAGCUUCCAGAUUCGAGAACCAGGAUGUGGGAGGAAGCAGCCUCCUGUCCAGGACCCAGGAACUGGUGUCCAGAACAGGCUCGUGCUGAGCUGUGUGUGAAGGUGGGCCGAGGUGGAGGCCAGGCAGCCAGGGGCCCCCAGGCUUGACUUGUCCCACGGCACGCCCGAGCCCAUGCCAAGCCUGCCCAAGAUGGUGAAGGGGACACCGUCCCAGGCGAGCAAGCUGGCUCAAAGCCAGUGACAGCUUUCCCAGAGGGUGAAGAAGGGAAUUUAAGAACACUUCACCCAUCUGGAACUAGGAAACGCCGUGGGAGCAGACAUCGCCAAGCAUCUGUGCUCUCUGGAUGAUAACUGAAACUUUUUAACCAAUCGCCAAUCAGAAAAUCUUUGAAUCCGCUUGUGAUCUGUAAGCCCCCACUUCACU